rnacentral:sRNA from 1 species
UCAUUAGAUCUCUCAUCUGACUGUGAGUGUCCUAAUUGUUUGGAGGGUCCUCAGAAUGAGUCUGAUUGGAACCCCUGUUCCAAUGAGAGUGGUAAUGGCUCUUUACCUUCAAGAUCAAGAAAGAAAUCCAUGCUUUCUUCUAGCAUGCAGUGCUUUCCUUCUCAGUGUUGUCCCACCAAGCCAGAGAGUGGUAACAAAGAAGACUCAGCAGUUCUUCCCUCAGAUGAGGAAAGCUAUGUGGGGUCUUCUCAAAACAAUCAUCUAAUUUUGAGCCUUGAGGAUAUCAAAAGGAAAAUCAAGCCAUUGAGAGAGUGGACUAUCCACGAGUUACUGAGGGAGUUUGGGAAAAGUGGGAAGUUCAAACCAAACUCCAUGUCCCUGAGCUACUUUAGAGAUCAGGUGGUUAUGAAGUUCAGAAGAGCUCUAUAUUAUUCUGGAAUUUGGGUGAUGCAUAUUCGAGGCUACAAACCUCAAAAGCACUUUACAGUUAAUUAUUUUAAAAGAAACCCUGGUUGCCUACACCGGCUGGUUCCCUGGCUGAAACGGGAACUAACAGCUGUUUAUGGAGAUUAUGGCUACACAGUGAAGAACAUCCUAACCACCAUCCUCCAUCACAUGACAGUAUAUGACUUGGACAGUGAGUCCUUCAUUCACCUCCUGGAACCUUAUCUCUUACAACACACCCACCAUUUCCUACAUGAGUUUAUUAGUUUUUUUCAUCCACCUUACAACAUGGAGACCUAUGACCAGUGAGCCAUCUAUCAAUGCUCUGCUGCUUCACCAUGUGUAAACAAGAAGCCCCUUGUCUCAACUCCUGUUUCACCUCUGCCUAAGGAUCACACUCUACUGAUAUGUCAACAUAAUACAAAGCAGUCUAAAAAUACCCAGGGUCAAUGGAAUAAAGAGGAGAGGCCCCUGUCAGGCUUGAAACAGUUUCCAAAUGGUAACUCUUCCUUGAAGAAAUCUGAAAUCCCACCAGUCUGUGAUAAAACAGUAAGCAAAAUCUAUGGUGGAAUCAAAGACAAAGCAGAAUCAGGUGACCACAAAAGCAUCAUUUCUAUGAAUAAUAUACUCCAGAAGUGGGCUACUCCAAGGGAAACGUGCCCAGGCUUACUGAAUUGCAAAAAAAAAGUUCAAGAGAAAAAGACAGAAGGGAUAAAGUUGUUUCCUGAUCAUGUCCACGAUCUGGGAAAGAGUGACACAACUGCACACACCUUCAGUACCCCAGCAAUUUCUAAUCAGGUGCAACCACAGAAAUAUAGUUUAAGAGAAAGAAAGGAUUUGAGCCUUGGCCAGAAGAUAAACUUUCAGAAAAAAGAAGAAGAAAAUAACAAAUACUCAGAUUCUUCACCAAAGACCUUUCAAAGAUUGUCCAGAGAAAGAUCCUUGAAAAGUUGCAAAUCCAGAGAGAAAGACCCCUCUUGGAGUUGCAUUUCAAAAAAUGCCUUUUCUCCUAAGAGAGAUGGCAGGAAACUGAGUUCUUUCAGAAAAAAGAGGAUGAAGUGUAGACAACCCUCCCAAUUUGUAGAAAUUGGUUCACACUCCAGGAGAAGAAUCCAAAGAAGAUCAAGGUCCAAUACUCACAGAUCCAAAUCCUGGUGUGUUGGAUCUAGAAAGAAAUCUGUAAGCAGAGAAUCGAGUAAUCUCUCUCUGAGAGGAAGUCACAGAAGUGAACACUUCACCCAGAAUAUAUGCUGUGAGCCCUCAAAAGAAAAGCAUGCCCAUGGCAAUGAAUCAGACUAUGGGAGGCCAUCUUCAACCACAAUCCAAUACGUGAAGCUUUCUUCAACUGCUGGGAAGAGACCCAAGUGUCCUUCUAAAAGUGAAGGUACUUCCCAAGCAGGAAGACGCUGUAACAGUCCCACAUGCCUACAGCUCCAGAAACACAGAUCCCCAAGUAAACAAGAGAUAAAGCAAGAAACUACAUUUCCUAGAGCUAGAAGAACCAGAGCAGUUAGUCACAGAAAAACCAAAUGCCAUUAUUCAGACAUACACACCACAGAGGAUGUCAGUGAUGAACUGGGCAAUCUGGAUGAUAUAAGACAAAUGAGUGGUCUCAGUGUGCACCCUCCUGCAGGAGGCAAAUCCACCAAAAACAGCAUU